ACGGGAGGCAGCAGUGAGGAAUAUUGGUCAAUGGACGGAAGCCUGAACCAGCCAAGUCGCGUGAAGGAUGAAGGUAUUAUGUAUUGUAAACUUCUUUAGCUGUGGAGAAAUAAUCUCCAUGUAUGGAGAGAUGAGAGUACACAGAGAAUAAGGAUCGGCUAACUCCGUGCCAGCAGCCGCGGUAAUACGGAGGAUCCGAGCGUUAUCCGGAUUUAUUGGGUUUAAAGGGUGCGCAGGCGGCUUUCUAAGUCAGUGGUCAAAUCGUGGUGCUCAACGCCAUCCCGCCAUUGAUACUGGAGAGCUUGAUUGCGGUCGAGGUUUGUGGAAUUCGUCGUGUAGCGGUGAAAUGCAUAGAUAUGACGAAGAACACCGAUUGCGUAGGCAGCAGACCAGGCCGUAAAUGACGCUCAUGCACGAAAGUGCGGGGAUCGAACAGGAUUAGGUACCCUGGUA
rnacentral:rRNA from 1 species